rnacentral:rRNA from 1 species
AACAACGCUGGCGGCGUGCCUAACACAUGCAAGUCGUACGAGAAAGUCCGCUUCGGUGGAUAAGUAAAGUGGCGCACGGGUGAGUAACGCGUGGAUAAUCUACCCUUAAGUUCGGAAUAACUUAUCGAAAGGUGAAUUAAUACCGGAUAACACUACACAACUACUGUUAUGUAGUCAAAGAAGGCCUCUGCUUGCAAGCUUUCGCUGAAGGAUGAGUCCGCGUACCAUUAGCUAGUUGGUCGGGUAAUGGCCUACCAAGGUUAUGAUGGUUAGCUGGGUCUGAGAGGAUGAUCAGCCACACUGGAACUGAAACACGGUCCAGACUCCUACGGGUGGCUG